rnacentral:rRNA from 1 species
UACGUAGGGACCAAGCGUUGUUCGGAUUUACUGGGCGUAAAGGGCGCGUAGGCGGCGCUGUAAGUCACUUGUGAAAUCUCCGGGCUUAACUCGGAACGGUCAAGUGAUACUGCAGUGCUAGAGUGCAGAAAGGGCAAUCGGAAUUCUUGGUGUAGCGGUGAAAUGCGUAGAUAUCGGGAGGAACACCAGUAGCGAAGGCGGCACUCUGGGCCGGUACUGACGCUGAGGAGCGAAAGCGUGGGGAGCGAACAGG